AUAUAUAACUGGGCAUCUCGGAUUUGUAUAGUGUAUAAAGUGAAUAAU
rnacentral:guide_RNA from 1 species